AAUGACUCCCUUGCUAGGUCAGCUUAUGUAGGGGAGCAGGCCAGUGUUACAUGGCAGGGGUCAAUAGGGAUGACGGCUUGUCCCUUGCUUUGAGUUGCUGAGCCUGAUGGUGGUGGACACACUGACAUCUUUUGUCCUAAUCCAAGCUGGAGCUCAUCCUAAAGAACUAAAGCUACCCACUUCUGCAGCUGUGCACAGCAGGGUCUCACUCUGCCUCCACUCCGGUAGCCUGGCACAUGAAAAUUCAUAAAUGAAUUCCUUGAACCUCACCAUGCUGAAAGGUGAUGUUUUGUAAUCUCUUGGAAUGUCUUGGGGUUAAGCUGAAAAUGCAGAUUCAUAACCAAGACUCAGGGUAUGUUUCACACAGAUUCUGUGAGAGAAGCAUGCGCUGGACAUAACAAGAAAACCCAGGAACGUGAGAGAGAGAUAAUUGCAGAGUGCCAGGUUCCAGAAACAUGUCCUUAUAUGGUCUACUUCUCAGGGACAAUAAAUAAUGAUGUAAUAGAAAGGUCAACUUUGUGUCAUUUAGCUACAGGAUGCUUGAUGAAGUUCCUCGCAUUAAUGCAACAAAGAAGAACUUUAUAAUGGGUAAAAGUUUCUGCAGUGCAUCUUCGAGCAGGAAAUCUGAGAUUCAGAACAACUUAUAUUUUGGCUUGUAUUCGCUGAUCAUGGGGUGAUCCAGAAAUAAACUCCAGGCUUCAAAGCGAGAGUGUUUCAAAGCUGUCCUGCAGUUGAUCGAAACAUCCAGGCAAAGCAGGGAGAUGAAUACCAACAAGGAUUUUCUGAAUUAAGACUAUAUCAAGAAGAUAACUCAUUUCAGCAAUAUCGUAACUCUUUUAUUUCAGAACUAAAAGGUAACACAGAUAUGCAUGUUUUGAAUUUACACAGCAUUUUCAAUGUCAGUUUGCUAUGUCUAUGCAAAUACUUCUUCCUAUAGCAGUUUGUACUGUUCGUAACCGAACACCCUAACAAAGUCUUCUCUGUUUGUCAUUUCCUUUUGUGGGUGUUUUGUUGUUGUUGUUGUUGUCUUGAUCUGGAUUUUUUUCUUGUCGUUCUUUCCGCACAAGCUGUAAAACUCUCACUGGAGUUAAGCAGAACUGUGGCUCUGCCGUUUCCUCAUUUUUCUUCUACUUAUCAGUGGUGCUUUUAUCUUUGUUGCUUAGAAAACUUACUCAGAAAUAAUUGUUGUUGUCGUAAUUGUAUUGCAAGUUAUGAUAGCAUGCAAGGCACAGUGGAAGAAAGAAGAUGACAUCAGCGAAUUAUUUCUUUUAGUUAUAAGUUUCUUGUUGGCAGAACACAAAGUUAAUAUUGCAGUGAUUACUGUGUGAAUUAACACUUUCUGAGAAUAAAUAAAAGCAUGCAGGUGUAUUCAUUUCCAGUAAAGAAUUUGCACAGAAUCACAACUUCAUGGCAUCGUAACACAUGCCAGACUGAUAGGUGACCUGUUUUGACAGCUGGGGCCGAAUGAGGGACUUGUUUGCUCAGAGGAUUCCUUUGGGAUGCCUGGCUUUGCUCUCCAGCACAGAGCUGUAACUUGACCAGUCUGCACAAGCUGUCGUUGCAAAAUGUUUUUGCCUGUUACCACAGCUGGACAGCAUGAGGUGUUGUUCUUCUAGUGCCCCAGCUCUGACAGAUAUGAUGGGCACUGAAAAUGUGUCUGUUUUUGAAACAUUAUUUGUCUUCUAGCAGUAGUUAACAAAUACACUUCAAAAAUACCAGAGAUUUGGCUGGAAACUGUCCUAAAGUGAAGCAAAAACAUGAACACUUUAAAUGCUGAAAAUUGGUCUAGUUUCCAUUGUCAGCAGAGGAUCUGGCCUCAAAGAUGGAGCAGUAAGGGCUGAAGCGUAGGGUUGGUUUUCUGGAAAGACUUCCAACUGUGUUUACCUUCCCUUUGUAUACUCCUGCUGCUUCCAGAAGUAAAGGCAAACAUAGGGAGUGGUAUCCACAGAACCUGGUUCUCAAUCACACCUUGCAAAAGGCAAAACAAGCAAACCACUCCUCUUCUCUCCCUUUCACAGCCUCUCAAAGUCUUGAUUUUGUUUUCAGAGAUGUAGUUUACCAUGCCCUGUGCCAUAAAUGCUGAGGUUCUGCAUAGAGUUACAAGUUGACUGGGGUAAAUGAAGAGCGAUGGUAGGCAGUCCCUGGCUCUGCUCUCUGAUGAACUC
rnacentral:lncRNA from 1 species